UCUAAUAUGGCAGAUUAGUGCAGUAGAUUUAAGCUCUACAAAUAAAGGUUCGACCUUUUAUUAGAA
rnacentral:tRNA from 1 species